GCAGCCGUAGCUCAGCUGGAUAGAGCACCACCCUGCGAAGGUGGGGGUCAGACGUUCGAAUCGUCUCGGUUGCACCA
rnacentral:tRNA from 1 species